rnacentral:lncRNA from 1 species
AUGCGGUACCGGGGGGGAGGAGGAGGAGGAGGAGGAGGAGAAGGAGGAGGAGGAGGGAGGGAGGGAGGGAUGGGAGCAGGGCGAGGCGGAGGGGAGAGGGCUGGGAGCGACGGGGAGCGGCGGGAGCGGCGCUGGGAGGACGGAGGGACGGAGGAUGGAGGGAUGGGGAGAGAUGCCGGGAUGGAAAACGGAGGCACGGGAGGGAGGCGGAGGGAUGGAAGAUGGAAGGAUGGGAGCAAAAUGGAGCGACAGUGGAGGUGGAGGGAUGGAAGAUGGAGGGAUGGAAAAUGGAGGGAUGGGAGGGAGACGGAGGGAUUGAAGACAGGGAUGGGAGGAAGAUGGAAGGAUGGAAAGUGGAGAGAUGGGAGGAAAAUGAAGGGAUGUCAGAGAUGGAGGGCUGGAAAYUACGGCAUGGGAGGGAGAUGGAGGGAAGGGCUGUGUGGGAGGAAGGGGAAAGGAUGGYGGUCCUGGUCCGGGCAAAAUGGGGCAGAUCGAGGCCAAGCAGGGCUUGCACCCCCCACGACAGCCUGGGGGUGGAGAGAAGGGGCUGGCGUGGGAGCGGUGGCCGGGGUGGCCCUCGCUCCGUCCCACGGCGAGGCCGGGGUGCGAGGGCUGCGUUCGCCUGCCRUGCCGGGAGGAGAGGGGCUCCGCGCUGGCCGCCGCGUUCACAUCCCCCCCUUCGGCGUUAGAGCAGAGGGGCCUGAUCCCAGGGCACUGGCUUCUCGCUCCCUGCCUCUCCUUAGCCACCAAAUCCUGGGCAGGUCGUUCUCCUCCCCUGUCUCCCUUUGCCAGUCUUUAAAUGGGAAGUAUCUAGAGGGCAAAGCUGACUUGGGUUUAACUAAUGCCAUAACUCCCCCAGGUUGGUUAGGCAAAAAGGAGAAUGAUGAAAUUCCACAUCUGUCAUUAAAAAAAUGGCAUAAAUGCGCACAGGAGCAAACAGCAAAGCAAGGAACGAAUAAAUCAAAGCGUGUUUUCGCAUCUGUGUUCACUCAGCAUGUGUAUUGGUUGCUCAACACCAUUGCAUUUAACAUGAGAUGGGGUUCACRUUCCAGGGAAACAAGGAAACCAGAAGUAAUCCUUUCUUCUGCAGUGCCAUGA